AGCUUACUGACAGAUGUUUCAUUGUUGCAACUCUACAACUGCAGAGAGAAAAUAUGACAGGAAACUAAAUUGCAGAUAGAAAAAUGUCGACAACGAGUCGGUAUUCUGAAGAUAAAUAAAAGCUAUGUUUGUUUUGGCUCAGGAAAAGACAAAACUCUUCAGACGUCCAAUAUAUCGAAAAUAAGCCAAUGAGAAUCCGGAAGCGAGAGAAAUUUCAAUAAAACAGUCGUAGAAGAAUUGAAUCAUGUAAUCCUCGAGGCAGUAUAGCAAAUAUAUGAUGAAUAGUUUAAUCUAAAUGAUGCCUGCAAAGGUUCACAUUCUCAAGAGACAUUUCUCACACUGCAACUUUCCUUAUAGAAGAAUUUCGAGAUGUGUUUGAUGCCGACGUACUAAACCUAACAUCAAAAAGACUGCAUAUUGAUGCUUAACCUUAUGAUAUUACUUGGCGUCCCUUUUGACAGUUAUUUGCUGUCCUUGACGAAUCCACUCAUAAUACCCAGGAGGAGAUUAAUAGGAAAAUGAGCUGAAGAUUAACAGAACUGUUUGCAAAAUUGGUAAACACUCAACGGUCUUGGAGACCAUAAAGGUUACAUUUAUAUUUGAGGAAAAGUUAAAUGACACGGUGGAGUGGAAACCAUUUGAAUAUUGGAAAACAGUUGGAAUCAUGAUUAUUCUCGCUGGGGAUCAAAUUGACUAUAUCAUGCCUGUUGCUCAUUGCUCUCUGAACACUAUACCACGUGACGUAGACAUCAUGAAAAACCAAGUUCACCCAAACACUAACUAUUUUUGGCUGUCUCCAUUCAGGUUGACGUCAUGCGUCACACAUUUUGAACAGGAGAUUCGGCUCAAUUCACACGGUCAUGUGAAGCAAUUCAGACUGCCGUGGAGUAUGGGGUCAUAUCCUGGCUAGAGAGGUUGCUGUGGGAAGGUGGUAUGAGUAGUAGCAGGAUUCGACUGGAAAGAGUGAUCACUUAAGCCAUUAAAU